GAUCUAUAACUUAAUUGUCAAUCAAGUUAGCUUAUAUAUUCAAUCAAGUCAAGUACUUCCAAAUUAGAUAUAUAAACAAAGGUCAAUUCCUUCCUACUUUGUCUGACUUGUGUGUGUAACUCUAUAGGUUCCAAUACUAAGCUGGUAGUAUUGAAAAAUGUGUCCCAAAAAUAAAUCGUCAGCCUGUUGAAAGUUGAACAAUCUUGUAUGGUAAUUGAUUUGUUAAUAAAUAAAAUAUA
rnacentral:lncRNA from 1 species